rnacentral:rRNA from 1 species
UACGAAGGGUGCAAGCGUUACUCGGAAUUACGGGGCGUAAAGCGUGCGUAGGUGGUUCGUUAAGUCUGAUGUGAAAGCCCUGGGCUCAACCUGGGAAUGGCAUUGGAAACUGGCGACCUAGAGUGCGGUAGAGGGUAGUGGAAUUCCCGGUGUAGCAGUGAAAUGCGUAGAGAUCGGGAGGAACAUCCGUGGCGAAGGCGACUACCUGGACCAGCACUGACACUGAGGCACGAAAGCGUGGGGAGCAAACAGG